AUGAACGCUAGCUACAGGCUUAACACAUGCAAGUCGAGGGGCAGCAUGAACUUAGCUUGCUAAGUUUGAUGGCGACCGGCGCACGGGUGAGUAACACGUAUCCAACCUGCCGAUGACUCGGGGAUAGCCUUUCGAAAGAAAGAUUAAUACCCGAUGGCAUAGUUCUUCCGCAUGGUAGAACUAUUAAAGAAUUUCGGUCAUCGAUGGGGAUGCGUUCCAUUAGGUUGUUGGCGGGGUAACGGCCCACCAAGCCUUCGAUGGAUAGGGGUUCUGAGAGGAAGGUCCCCCACAUUGGAACUGAGACACGGUCCAAACUCCUACGGGAGGCAGCAGUGAGGAAUAUUGGUCAAUGGACGAGAGUCUGAACCAGCCAAGUAGCGUGAAGGAUGACUGCCCUAUGGGUUGUAAACUUCUUUUAUACGGGAAUAAAGUGAGGCACGUGUGCCUUUUUGUAUGUACCGUAUGAAUAAGGAUCGGCUAACUCCGUGCCAGCAGCCGCGGUAAUACGGAGGAUCCGAGCGUUAUCCGGAUUUAUUGGGUUUAAAGGGAGCGUAGGCGGACGCUUAAGUCAGUUGUGAAAGUUUGCGGCUCAACCGUAAAAUUGCAGUUGAUACUGGGUGUCUUGAGUACAGUAGAGGCAGGCGGAAUUCGUGGUGUAGCGGUGAAAUGCUUAGAUAUCACGAAGAACUCCGAUUGCGAAGGCAGCUUGCUGGACUGUAACUGACGCUGAUGCUCGAAAGUGUGGGUAUCAAACAGGAUUAGAUACCCUGGUAGUCCACACAGUAAACGAUGAAUACUCGCUGUUUGCGAUAUACAGUAAGCGGCCAAGCGAAAGCGUUAAGUAUUCCACCUGGGGAGUACGCCGGCAACGGUGAAACUCAAAGGAAUUGACGGGGGCCCGCACAAGCGGAGGAACAUGUGGUUUAAUUCGAUGAUACGCGAGGAACCUUACCCGGGCUUGAAUUGCAACUGAAUGAUGUGGAGACAUGUCAGCCGCAAGGCAGUUGUGAAGGUGCUGCAUGGUUGUCGUCAGCUCGUGUCGUGAGAUGUUGGGUUAAGUCCCGCAACGAGCGCAACCCCUGUUGCCAGUUGCCAGCAUUAAGUUGGGGACUCUGGCGAGACUGCCGGUGACAAGCCGGAGGAAGGCGGGGAUGACGUCAAAUCAUCAUGCCCCUUAUGACCUGGGCUACACACGUGCUACAAUGGCGCAUACAAAGAGAAGCGACCUCGCGAGAGCAAGCGGACCUCAUAAAGUGCGUCGUAGUCCGGAUUGGAGUCUGCAACUCGACUCCAUGAAGUCGGAAUCGCUAGUAAUCGUGGAUCAGAAUGCCACGGUGAAUACGUUCCCGGGCCUUGUACACACCGCCCGUCACACCAUGGGAGCCGGUAAUACCCGAAGUCAGUAGUCUAACCGCAAGGAGGACGCUGCCGAAGGUAGGAUUGGCGACUGGGGUG
rnacentral:rRNA from 1 species